AGAUUGAACGCUGGCGGCAGGCCUAACACAUGCAAGUCGAGCGGUAGAGAGGUGCUUGCAUCUCUUGAGAGCGGCGGACGGGUGAGUAAUGCCUAGGAAUCUGCCUAGUGGUGGGGGAUAACGUUCGGAAACGGACGCUAAUACCGCAUACGUCUUACGGGAGAAAGCGGGGGACCUUCGGGCCUCGCGCCAUUAGAUGAGCCUAGGUCGGAUUAGCUAGUUGGUGAGGUAAUGGCUCACCAAGGCUCCGAUCGGUAGCUGGUCUGAGAGGACGACCAGCCACACUGGAACUGAGACACGGUCCAGACUCCUACGGGAGCAGCAGUGGGGAAUAUUGGACAAUGGGCGCAAGCCUG
rnacentral:rRNA from 1 species